UGAGAGAGUCUCCCACAAAGGUGCCCAC
rnacentral:piRNA from 1 species